rnacentral:tRNA from 1 species
AAAUAAGUGCCUGAAAAAGGAUUAUCUUGAUAUGAUAAAUUAUGAUUUUAUAAAAAAUCCUUAUUUA